rnacentral:rRNA from 1 species
GACGAACGCUGGCGGCGUGCUUAACACAUGCAAGUCGAGCGAGAAAGUCUGGUGCUUGCACCAGAAUUUCUAGCGGCGGACGGGUGAGUAACACGUGGGCAACCUGCCCUAAGGAGGGGAAUAACAGGCCGAAAGGUCUGCUAAUACCGCAUAGGUUUACAUUUUGCGUGAAGUGUAGAUUAAAGAUUUAUCGCCUUAGGAUGGGCCCGCGGCGCAUUAGCUAGUUGGUAAGGUAAUGGCUUACCAAGGCAACGAUGCGUAGCCGACCUGAGGGGGUGAUCGGCCACAUUGGGACUGAGACACGGCCCAGACUCCUACGGGAGGCAGCAGUGGGGAAUUUUGGACAAUGGGGGCAACCCUGAUCCAGCAACGCCGCGUGAGCGAUGAAGGCCUUCGGGUCGUAAAGCUCUGUCCCCAAGGAAGAUAAUGACGGUACUUGAGGAGGAAGCCCCGGCUAACUACGUGCCAGCAGCCGCCGUAACAC